rnacentral:lncRNA from 1 species
AACGAAAAGCAGAGAUCUGAAUGUGGGUCCAGUUGAGUCCAGAUUUCUUGCUCCUUCAUCUCUAUUCCCAGAAAUGCUUGGCAGAGGAAAACGGAGGUGGAAAGUGUGACAGAAAAUGCCUUGGAAACCUGGGGAAGGACGGGGCAUUGCUGGAAGGAUGAAAACAAAGUUCAUUGUGUUUCCAUCCUGCCUACCUCAUACUAACAAGAUGGCUGCAGCAGUUCCAGGCAUCCCGUGUCAACAAGAUUAUGUCCAGUGGAGGAGUUUCCUAACAGAGUCAGGUGGCCUUAUGACCCAGUUGUAACCAUGUGAGAAUAUCGUAGAAGUGAUGCCAGAUGACUUCGAAGGCCAUGUCAUAAAAGUUGAUGCUGCUGUCUUGGAAGCUGAAUUACUUACACGGCAGCACUUGAUCGCCAUAUUGUGAGGAAGCUCAACCAGCACCUGUGGAGAGACUGCAUGGACAGGCCAUGAGACUACCUGAGGGAGACACCCAUUAAGACUGCAGCUUCUCUAGCUUCUCUGCUGUUCUAGUUCCAGCCACUGUCUGACUGCAACCAUCUGUGGGGUCCCAGACCAGAAUCUCACCUCCGAGUCCUCCCUGAAUGACCUCAGAAAUUG